GGUAGGAAAAGUGAGUAGGCUAAUCGUGAUGGGAACACUGAUUUCAAGCCAUCUUUUGUGCUUUCCCUACUUUUGGAGCAUCUAGCGUGCGAAGAAGCAAGAACCAGCUUACUUUUGAGCAAAAACAGCCUUGUGUUCCUGCAAUCAGUGAUGAAAAUACUCGAGCCACUGGAGAUUUCUACUCCUCAGCCUCACUGCUGUCUGGCGCAGGCAUUAAUGCAUUAUCAUCAGAGUCAGAGACAUGGGCCGGUUCCUUUUUGCGAGAGGGGUUCAGCCUCUCCUUGCCCAGCCACUAUGGCUGAAACAUGGACUUUAUUUGAACUUUUGAAGGUUUAAAGAUAACCCAGGACCUGAACCUUUUUAACACAGUUGUUAAAAGUGAUGCCAAAUCCAUUGUUGACAUUGUGUUGAUGGAUAUUUCUGAGGCACCAUGAUGCAUUCAGAACUUGAUUACGAGCUGCAGAGGUCUUUUACAUAAGCAAAAUUUGCUUUAUCU